GAGGAAUAUUGGGCAAUGCCCGCAAGGGUGACCCAGCAACGCCGCGUGGAGGAUGAAAGCCGUAAGGUUGUAAACUCCUGUGAGAGGGGACGAAUGAUUACGUUUCGUAAGGAACGUGAAGUGACUGUACCCUCAGAGGAAGCCCCGGCUAACUACGUGCCAGCAGCCGCGGUAAUACGUAGGGGGGCAAGCGUUGUCCGGAUUUACUGGGUGUAAAGGGCGCGUAGGCGGGUUGAUAAGUUAGAGGUGAAAUCCUGCGGCUUAACCGCAGAACUGCCCCUAAUACUGUCAAUCUUGAGUUCAGAAGAGAGAAGCGGAAUUCCAGGUGUAGUGGUGAAAUACGUAGAUAUCUGGAAGAACACCAGUUGCGAAGGCGGCUUCUUGGUCUGACACUGACGCUGAGGCGCGAAAGCGUGGGGAGCAAACAG
rnacentral:rRNA from 1 species